AGCAAUGGCUGGAAGCGCAUCUACAUUCUGUCAUUGUUUGUGGAACACAUGCUGCUGGGUUUCCAAAAUCAGCUCAGGUUACUGGUCCUGGAUCACAUUAAAACCUUAAGCAGGGUUCUGGAGAGAACUUCAGAUGUGAAAGCUGUGGAGGCCUUUGUAGCUGUAGUUGAAGUUCUGAAGUCCUGUAAGCAGAAGGCAGUGGAUCAGAUGUUCAGGUUUGGACUUCAGUGUGGGGUGUGCAUAAAGGACCCUCAGGAACCUGUAGAGCUGCCUUGCUAUCACAUCUACUGCUUAACAUGCAUCAAAGCAUGCCUUGAUGCAGGACAGAUAUCCUGUCCCAGCUGCAGGCAUCAGUUACCAGAUGGCUUUCAACCAC